rfam:Capsicum annuum cultivar Zunla-1 unplaced genomic scaffold scaffold7780, whole genome shotgun sequence
UACCCUCGGCAAUGGAUAUCUCAGCUCUCGCAUCGAUGAAGAACGUAGCGAAAUGCGAUACUUGGUGUGAAUUGUAGAAUCCCAUGAACCAUCGAGUCUUUGAAUGCAUAUUGCGCCCGAAGCCAUUAGGUUAAGGGCACGUCUGCCUGGGCGUCA